GAUGAAGAACGUAGCGAAAUGCGAUAAGUAAUGCGAAUUGCAGAAUUCCAGUGAGUCAUCGAAUCUUUGAACGCACAUUGCGCCCCUUGGUAUUCCAUGGGGCAUGCCUGUUCGAGCGUCAUUUGUACCUUCAAGCUUUGCUUGGUGUUGGGGAUCGGCCAAAGCCCGCGAGGGACGGCCGGCCCCUAAAUCUAGUGGCGGACCCGUCGUGGCCUCCUCUGCGAAGUAGUGAUAUUCCGCAUCGGAGAGCGACGAGCCCCUGCCGUUAAACCCCCAACUUUCCAAGGUUGACCUCAGAUCAGGUAGGAAUACCCGCUGAACUUAAGCAUAUCAUAAGCGGAGGA
rnacentral:misc_RNA from 1 species